GCCUGGGUGGCUCAGUCGGUUAAGCGUCUGACUUUGGCUCAGGUCAUCAUCUUGCAGUUCUCGUAGGUUCGAACCCCGUGUCGGGCU
rnacentral:tRNA from 1 species